rnacentral:SRP_RNA from 1 species
ACUGGGAGCGUGGCGCACUCCUGUAAUCCAGCUGCUUGGAGGUCGGAGUCAGCGGAUGGUUUGAGGUCAGGAGUCCUGGCGUAGGGCAUCUCACGUCGACUGGGCGUCCGCGCUAAGCCCGGCGUCAAUAUGGUCGAACCGGAGGAGUCCGGUGGCGGCCAGGUUGGCCAAGGAGGGGCGCACCGGGCCAGGCGGGAAACCGAGCAGCCAAAAGUCCCCGCGUCGGGCAGUAGCGGGAUCGCGCCCGGGAGUGGGAGCCCUGUGACAGCCUGACCAAUACAGCUAGACCUGGUUCUUU